CCUACGGGUGGCAGCAGUCGAGAAUCAUUCACAAUGGGGGAAACCCUGAUGGUGCGACGCCGCGUGGGGGAAUGAAGGUCUUCGGAUUGUAAACCCCUGUCAUGUGGGAGCAAAUUAAAAAGAUAGUACCACAAGAGGAAGAGACGGCUAACUCUGUGCGAGAAGCCGCGGUAAUACAGAGGUCUCAAGCGUUGUUCGGAAUCACUGGGCGUAAAGGGUGCGUAGGCUGUUUCGUAAGUCGUGUGUGAAAGUCGCGGGCUCAACCCGCGGACGGCACAUGAUACUGCGAGACUAGAGUAAUGGAGGGGGAACCGGAAUUCUCGGUGUAGCAGUGAAAUGCGUAGAUAUCGAGAGGAACACUCGUGGCGAAGGCGGGUUCCUGGACAUUAACUGACGCUGAGGCACGAAGGCCAGGGGAGCGAAAGGGAUUAGAUACCCGAGUAGUC
rnacentral:rRNA from 1 species